AUAAUACUCCCUCCGUCCAAAAAUACUUGUAGUUAAAAUAGAUGUAUCUAAAUGUAUUUUUAUCCUACAUAAGUUUAUUUGUAUCCCUUUUUAUGACAAGUAAUUCUGAACGGAGGGAGUAUUAG
rnacentral:pre_miRNA from 1 species